GGGGCGGGCCUUUCAGGCAUCCUCUCCCAAACUUUUCCGGGCCGGCGUUUUCGCCGGCCCUUUUUUUGCGUUCGG
rnacentral:sRNA from 1 species